UAAGUUUGACAGACAAUCGCUGGCAGCAGGAGACUGCUGCGAGAGGAAAGUCCGGGCUCCAUAGGGCAGGGUGCUGGAUAACGUCCAGUCAGCGCGAGUUGAAGGAUAGUGCCACAGAAAUGGACCGCCGAUGGCGCUAUAAGCGCACAGGCAAGGGUGGAACCGUGGUGUAAGAGACCACGAGGAGUAUGGGUGACUAUAUUCCUGGUAAACCCCACUUGGAGCAAGACCUAAGAGGAAUGCAGUCGAUCCUAUGGAAUCGACAGUCUUAGCCCGAGACGCAUUCGGGUUGGUCGCUUGAGCUGUAUAGCAAUAUAUAGCCUAGAUAGAUGAUUGUCACUUCAAUGGUGGGAGGGGAGUUCACCCGUUUACCACUGGAAGUACAGAACCCGGCUUACGGCAAACUUACCGU
rnacentral:RNase_P_RNA from 1 species